GACGAACGCUGGCGGCGUGCUUAACACAUGCAAGUCGAACGGAAAGGCCCUGCUUUUGUGGGGUGCUCGAGUGGCGAACGGGUGAGUAACACGUGAGUAACCUGCCCUUGACUUUGGGAUAACUUCAGGAAACUGGGGCUAAUACCGGAUAGGAGCUCCUGCUGCAUGGUGGGGGUUGGAAAGUUUCGGCGGUUGGGGAUGGACUCGCGGCUUAUCAGCUUGUUGGUGGGGUAGUGGCUUACCAAGGCUUUGACGGGUAGCCGGCCUGAGAGGGUGACCGGCCACAUUGGGACUGAGAUACGGCCCAGACUCCUACGGGAGGCAGCAGUGGGGAAUAUUGCACAAUGGGUGGAAGCCUGAUGCAGCACCGCCGUGUGCGGGAUGACGGCCUUCGGGUUGUAAACCGCUUUCGCUCAUGACGAAGCUUUGUGUGACGGUAGUGGGUAAAGAAGCACCGGCUAACUACGUG
rnacentral:rRNA from 1 species